AGGCGUGUAGCUCAGCUAGGUAGAGCACUUGGCUUUUAACUAAGUGGCCAGGGGUUCAAAUCCCCUCACGCCUGCCA
rnacentral:tRNA from 1 species